GGACAUGCUGAAGGCCUCCAAGUUUUUACUCAGGUUAGCAUUCCCCUUGCCUUUUGGAAGGGAAGAUACUAGCACCCCGAUUUGUGGAGAAAGUAAAACGAACAAGGUUUCCGUAGGUGAACCUGCGGAAGGAUCAUUACAGUAUUCUUUUGCCAGCGCUUAACUGCGCGGCGAAAAACCUUACACACAGUGUCUUUUUGAUACAGAACUCUUGCUUUGGUUUGGCCUAGAGAUAGGUUGGGCCAGAGGUUUAACAAAACACAAUUUAAUUAUUUUUACAGUUAGUCAAAUUUUGAAUUAAUCUUCAAAACUUUCAACAACGGAUCUCUUGGUUCUCGCAUCGAUGAAGAACGCAGCGAAAUGCGAUAAGUAAUAUGAAUUGCAGAUUUUCGUGAAUCAUCGAAUCUUUGAACGCACAUUGCGCCCUCUGGUAUUCCAGAGGGCAUGCCUGUUUGAGCGUCAUUUCUCUCUCAAACCCCCGGGUUUGGUAUUGAGUGAUACUCUUAGUCGGACUAGGCGUUUGCUUGAAAAGUAUUGGCAUGGGUAGUACUAGAUAGUGCUGUCGACCUCUCAAUGUAUUAGGUUUAUCCAACUCGUUGAAUGGUGUGGCGGGAUAUUUCUGGUAUUGUUGGCCCGGCCUUACAACAACCAAACAAGUUGACCUCARUGGCAGAUAAGACUAACCCUCCUGGC
rnacentral:rRNA from 1 species